GGGCAAUUUAGUUAACAAGGUUACAUUCUGGUAAAAGAUAUGUAACCUUUUUAAUAUUUCCUGACUUUGAGGCAACAUUGGCUUUGAUCUUGCUUCUUAAUGUUGCAAAAGUAUUUGCUUUUUAUCAUGCUGGGCAUUCAAUCUUCAUUGUACAACUUCUCACAGUGAGAGUAAGCUACAUACUGCACAGUGAUAAUCCAAAAAGGAUGUGAGGUUAUGGGUACAACUUUAAAAUAAAACGUAAAUAUAGUACAGAACUGAAAAAAGGUUCAAUAGCAAUGAAUUAUAAUUUUUACAGUUAUUUGGCUGUAUCCUGAUAUUUGGAAAAUUAGAUUUAUUUAAAAAGUUG
rnacentral:lncRNA from 1 species